GCGUCGAUAGAGUAGUGGUGAACUCACCUCCCUCCCAAUUUACAUAGGUGUUCAGGAGGAGACUCGGGUUCGAACCCCGAUCGUCGCA